rnacentral:rRNA from 1 species
UCCGUAGGCGGACUAAUAAGUCAGGGGUGAAAUCCCACAGCUCAACUGUGUAACUGCCUUUGAUACUGUUAGUCUUGAGUUAUAUGGAAGUAGAUAGAAUGUGUAGUGUAGCGGUGAAAUGCUUAGAGAUUACACAGAAUACCGAUUGCGAAGGCAGUCUACUACGUAUAUACUGACGCUAAUGGACGAAAGCGUGGGGAGCGAACAGGAUUAGAUACCCUGGUAGUCC